GGGAAUUUUUUUUUUAUUUUUUUUUUUUUAAUCCAUACAGGCCAGUCCCUGUGAAUUACAAAAUCUGAUAGAUUGUGACACAAGGCAAAUGUUAUGGCCGUGGUUCAAAAGCUCCCCAGAGGAUAGUUCUGAGAAACAGAUCACUGCAAGACUGGACGAAUUUUCCUCUUUCCUAUUCCUCCUAAGUUCUCAUCAAACCUAAGAUGGUUUGCAGAAGAUGAUAAAACUUGACAGUGGCUUUAAAUUAAAAGCCAAACAAAAAAAAAACCAACGAAACAAAAAAACCUCAGACAAACAGCAAGAAAUGUUGGUGGGAAACAUAAAUGCAGGGGCUUUCAAUUUACAUCUCAGAAUUGUUGACUUCUUUACCAGAAGUUUCACCUUGUGUUUUUAAACAGCAUUGACAUUAGAAAUUAUGUGUUUGCUCAGGAAUUCACAAAUGUUAACUGAAAAGUUUCUGAAAAUCAUCAACAGGCUCAAAAGGGAAAGAAGACUCUGAGUGAAACAGAAAUUAUUUUCCGGCUGAACACUAAAGAGAAAAUGCUCUGAGCCAGCAAGACUCCAUGUUUACUGCAAGUCUGAAAGCUAAAAACAUAUUUUUAAAAUGAAAGCUGACCUCCUCAGUUAACUGCCUGGCUCAAUGAGCCAAGGGUUUAAGAAAAACAGAAUACCAUGAGACACAUGAUGAGAUCAUGAGAGCUGGCUACUCUCUUGAAGCAGUCAUAAAAGCAAAUAAAAUUCAUUGAACUUC